AGAGUUUGAUCAUGGCUCAGAUUGAACGCUGGCGGCAGGCCUAACACAUGCAAGUCGAGCGGUAGCACAGAGAGCUUGCUCUCGGGUGACGAGCGGCGGACGGGUGAGUAAUGUCUGGGAAACUGCCUGAUGGAGGGGGAUAACUACUGGAAACGGUAGCUAAUACCGCAUAACGUCGCAAGACCAAAGUGGGGGACCUUCGGGCCUCAUGCCAUCAGAUGUGCCCAGAUGGGAUUAGCUAGUAGGUGGGGUAACGGCUCACCUAGGCGACGAUCCCUAGCUGGUCUGAGAGGAUGACCAGCCACACUGGAACUGAGACACGGUCCAGACUCCUACGGGAGGCAGCAGUGGGGAAUAUUGCACAAUGGGCGCAAGCCUGAUGCAGCCAUGCCGCGUGUGUGAAGAAGGCCUUCGGGUUGUAAAGCACUUUCAGCGGGGAGGAAGGCGUUAAGGUUAAUAACCUCAUCGAUUGACGUUACCCGCAGAAGAAGCACCGGCUAACUCCGUGCCAGCAGCCGCGGUAAUACGGAGGGUGCAAGCGUUAAUCGGAAUUACUGGGCGUAAAGCGCACGCAGGCGGUCUGUCAAGUCGGAUGUGAAAUCCCCGGGCUUAACCUGGGAACUGCAUUCGAAACUGGCAGGCUAGAGUCUUGUAGAGGGGGGUAGAAUUCCAGGUGUAGCGGUGAAAUGCGUAGAGAUCUGGAGGAAUACCGGUGGCGAAGGCGGCCCCCUGGACAAAGACUGACGCUCAGGUGCGAAAGCGUGGGGAGCAAACAGGAUUAGAUACCCUGGUAGUCCACGCCGUAAACGAUGUCGAUUUGGAGGUUGUGCCCUUGAGGCGUGGCUUCCGGAGCUAACGCGUUAAAUCGACCGCCUGGGGAGUACGGCCGCAAGGUUAAAACUCAAAUGAAUUGACGGGGGCCCGCACAAGCGGUGGAGCAUGUGGUUUAAUUCGAUGCAACGCGAAGAACCUUACCUGGCCUUGACAUCCACAGAACUUUCCAGAGAUGGAUUGGUGCCUUCGGGAACUGUGAGACAGGUGCUGCAUGGCUGUCGUCAGCUCGUGUUGUGAAAUGUUGGGUUAAGUCCCGCAACGAGCGCAACCCUUAUCCUUUGUUGCCAGCGGUUAGGCCGGGAACUCAAAGGAGACUGCCAGUGAUAAACUGGAGGAAGGUGGGGAUGACGUCAAGUCAUCAUGGCCCUUACGACCAGGGCUACACACGUGCUACAAUGGCAUAUACAAAGAGAAGCGACCUCGCGAGAGCAAGCGGACCUCAUAAAGUAUGUCGUAGUCCGGAUUGGAGUCUGCAACUCGACUCCAUGAAGUCGGAAUCGCUAGUAAUCGUAGAUCAGAAUGCUACGGUGAAUACGUUCCCGGGCCUUGUACACACCGCCCGUCACACCAUGGGAGUGGGUUGCAAAAGAAGUAGGUAGCUUAACCUUCGGGAGGGCGCUUACCACUUUGUGAUUCAUGACUGGGGUGAAGUCGUAACAAGGUAACCGUAGGGGAACCUGCGGUUGGAUCACCU
rnacentral:rRNA from 1 species